CUACGGGGGGCUGCAGUGGGGAAUAUUGCACAAUGGGCGAAAGCCUGAUGCAGCAACGCCGCGUGAGGGACGACGGCCUUCGGGUUGUAAACCUCUUUUAGCAGGGAAGAAGCGAAAGUGACGGUACCUGCAGAAAAAGCACCGGCUAACUACGUGCCAGCAGCCGCGGUAAUACGUAGGGUGCAAGCGUUGUCCGGAUUAUUGGGCGUAAAGAGCUCGUAGGCGGUUUGUCGCGUCUGCUGUGAAAAUCCGAGGCUCAACCUCGGACCUGCCGUGGGUACGGGCAAACUAGAGGGCGGUAGGGGAGAUUGGAAUUUCUGGUGUAGCGGUGGAAUGCGCAGAUAUCAGGAGGAACACCAAUGGCGAAGGCAGAUCUCUGGGCCGUAACUGACGCUGAGGAGCGAAAGCGUGGGGAGCGAACAGGAUUAGAUACCCGAGUAGUC
rnacentral:rRNA from 1 species